GACGAACGCUGGCGGCACGCUUAACACAUGCAAGUCGAACGGAAAGGCCUGCUUUCCCUUGUGGAUUGCGGGUACUCGAGUGGCGAACGGGUGAGUAACACGUGAGUGAUCUGCCCCCAACUUGGGUAUAAGCCUGGGAAACUGGGUCUAAUUCCCGAUAGGACUGCAGGGUGGUGCCUGUGGUGGAAAACGAUUUUCUAGUGGUUGGGGAUGAGCUCGCGGCCUAUCAGCUUGUUGGUGGGGUAAUGGCCUACCAAGGCGGCGACGGGUAGCCGGCCUGAGAGGGUGGACGGCCACAUUGGGACUGAGAUACGGCCCAGACUCCUACGGGAGGCAGCAGUGGGGAAUAGUGCACAAUGGGCGGAAGCCUGAUGCAGCGACGCCGCGUGGGGGAUGACGGCCUUCGGGUUGUAAACUCCUUUCGACCGCGAGGAAGCCACCUGGUUGGAAGGGUGGUGACGGUAGUGGUAGAAGAAGCACCGGCUAACUACGUG
rnacentral:rRNA from 1 species